UUGUUUGACAUUGACUGUUUUGCAUCAGUGUGAAGGUGGAUGUCUAGCAUCUUCCUACUUUUAAACUCUGAUAAAACUGAAAUGAUGGUUCUUGGUCCAGUGAGACGUUGGCACCAAUUUCACCAGCUAAAGCUUAGCCUAAGCUCAUGUGUCAUACAUCACACUGACAAAGCGAGGAACCUUGGGG